AGAGUUUGAUCAUGGCUCAGGACGAACGCUGGCGGCGGGCUUAACACAUGCAAGUCGUACGCGGCCUUCGGGCCGAGUGGCGCACGGGUGCGUAACGCGUAGGCAACCUGCCCUAGAGUGGGGAAUAACUCCGGGAAACCGGGGCUAAUACCGCAUAUUGAGCAGAGGCGGCAUCGCCUUUGCUUGAAAGCCUUCGGGCGCUCUAGGAUGGGCCUGCGUUGGAUUAGCUAGUUGGUGUGGUAACGGCGCACCAAGGCUGUGAUCCAUAGCUGGUCUGAGAGGAUGAUCAGCCACACUGGCACUGAGACACGGGCCAGACUCCUACGGGAGGCAGCAGUGAGGAAUCUUGCGCAAUGGGGGAAACCCUGACGCAGCCACGCCGCGUGGGAGGAUGACACCCCUAUGGGGCGUAAACUCCUUUUCUGCGGGAAGAACGCCGGCCUCGGGCCGGGAUGACGGUACCGCAGGAAUAAGCACCGGCUAACUCCGUGCCAGCAGCCGCGGUAAUACGGAGGGUGCAAGCGUUGUCCGGAAUUAUUGGGUGUAAAGGGUGUGUAGGCGGGAUCGUAAGUCAGGGGUGAAAGGUCACAGCUUAACUGUGACAUUGCCUUUGAUACUGCGGUCCUUGAGUGUCGGAGGGGCCACUAGAAUUCGUGGUGUAGCGGUGAAAUGCGUAGAUAUCACGAGGAAUACCAGAGGCGUAGGCGGGUGGCUGGACGACAACUGACGCUGAGGCACGAAAGCGUGGGGAGCGAACAGGAUUAGAUACC
rnacentral:rRNA from 1 species